UAGCACAAAUUGUGGCAUAGGAGAUUAGGCCAUGCCAAUUUCAGAUCCAUUGAUCUGUUGCAUAAACUGAAUUUGGUUGAUGACAUUUCAAAAAUUGAGGUUAGUGGGAAUGUUUGUGAGGUUUGUCAGCUUGGUAAGCAAGCUAGACUGCCUUUUCCUGCUGACAGUGCUUGGAGAGCUCAACAUAAGCUCGAAUUGGUGCACUCUGAUGUUUGUGGCCCUAUGAGAACAUCUUCAAUCAGUGGCAACAGGUAUUUUGUCCUGUUUAUAGAUGAUUUAACAAGAUUAUGCUAGGUCUACUUCUUGAAGCAGAAGUCAGAAGUGUUUGAGGCCUUCUGCAAAUUCAAGGCUUAUGCUGAAAAUCAGUCAGGCUGUAAAAUUAGAGCCUUGAGGACUGAUAAUGGCUCUGAAUAUGUGUCUGAGAGAUUUCAGAAGCUUUGUAACACUGCUGGAAUUCAUCAUCAGCUUACCACAGUUUAUACUCCUCAACAGAAUAGAGUUUGUGAAAGGAAAAAUAGGACUGUGCUGAACAUGGCCAGGUGUCUCUUGUUUCAAAGCAAGCUUCCAAGUCAGUUUUGGCCUGAGGCAGUCAACACCUCAGUGUACCUGCUCAAUAGGCUGCCAACUCGAGCAGUCAAGGAUAAAACACCUUUUGAGGCUUGGCAUGGAGUCAAACCAAUUGUGACACACUUGAAAGUGUUUGGAUGUGUGUGUUAUGCUCUUAUUCCAGUGGAGAAGAGGACCAAGCUUGAGAGCAGGGCUACAUCAGGAAUUUUUGUAGGCUAUAGCAGCAACAAGAAGGGUUAUAGGGUGUAUGAUCCUACAGCAAAGAAGGUCUUAGUCAGCAGGGAUGUAAAGUUUGAUGAGGAAAAGGUGUGGAAUUGGAAUGGCGCUGAAGCUGACAUGUCUGAAAUGGACCAGUUGGACUUGGUUACUGAACCUAUGGAAGAGGGACCAGGAGAAGAUGCUGUGGAUGACACACCAGUGAGGGGCACCAGAACUUUGACUGAUGUCUAUCAGAAGUGUAAUGUUGCUGUAAUUGAGCCUUCAGACUUUGAAGAGGCUGUCAAAGACAGAAGAUGGAUGAAAGCUAUGGAAGCUGAGCUGGAAAUGAUCAACAAAAAUCAGACAUGCGAAUUGGUGAGCAGACCAGAACACAAGAAGGUCAUAGGAGUUAAAUGGGUGUACAGGGCCAAGUACAAUGCUGAUGGCUCACUGAACAAGCACAAGGCCAGGCUUGUGGUGAAGGGCUACAGUCAGCAAUAUGGUGUGGACUUCUUGGAGACAUUUGCACCAGUAGCAAGACUGGAUACAAUCAAGCUACUGUUUGGUUUAGCAGCUCAGAAGCAGUGGAAAGUUCAUCAAUUGGAUGUGAAGUCAGCAUUCCUAAAUGGCUUUCUCAAGGAGGAGAUCUUCAUUGAGCAACCUGAAGGUUUUGAAGUUGCUGGACAUGAAGACAAAGUGUACAAGUUGAGAAAGGCCCUUUAUGGCCUGAAACAGGCACCAAGGGCCUGGUAUGACAGAGUUGAUGCUUACCUGACCAAGCUUGGAUUUGUGAAGAGUCUUAGUGAGCCUACUCUGUAUGUUAAAAGGUCAGAAUUUGAAACCUUGCUGAUUGUCUCCUUGUAUGUGGAUGAUUUGUUAGUGACAGGGAGCAAAGUUGAGCUCAUUGAUGAGUUCAAGGUUCAAAUGCAGCAAGUAUUUGAGAUGACAGACUUGGGAAUCAUGACAUACUUCCUUGGUAUGGAAGUGCACCAAUCUGAUCAAGGCAUCUUCAUCAGCCAACACACAUUUGCCUUGAAGAUCCUUGAUAAAUUUUGUAUGCAUAACUGUAAAGCAGUUAGCACACCAGUGGCUCAAGGAGAAAAGUUGACAAGCAGUGGUGAUCAGCAAAGGGUGGAUGAGAGACACUAUCGAAGCCUAGUAGGUUGCCUGUUAUAUUUGACAGCAACUAGGCCAGACAUCAUGUUUGGUGUUAAUCUGCUAUCGAGGUUCAUGCACUGCUGUAAUGAGACACAUUUGAAGGCUGCAAAAAGGGUUCUUAGAUACAUCAAAGGGACAGCUAACCUUGGGGUAAUGUUUGAAAGUGGAAAAAAAACUGAAAUUGGAAGGUUAUUUUGACAGUGACUGGGCAGGAUCCCUUGAUGACAUGAAGAGUACCUCUGGAUACUUCUUCACACUUGGAUCGGGUAUGUUUUGCUGGAGUUCAAAGAAGCAACAAACUGUUGCUCAGUCCACAGCUGAAGCAGAGUACAUUGCUGCUGCAGCAGCAGUCAAUCAGGCCAUUUGGCUUAGAAAAUUACUUCAUGAUCUCAAUGAAAUACAAGCUGAUGCAACUGAACUUUGGGUGGACAACCAGUCAGCAGUUGCCAUAGCCAAGAACCCUGUGUUCCAUGGUAAAACUAAACAUUUUAAAAUAAAGUUGCAUUCUGUUCAAGAGGCUGAACAAGCAAAGGAAGUCAGCCUUGUGCAUUGUGGCUCGGGGGCACAAUUGGCUGACAUACUGACCAAGCCCUUAGGAGCUGCUCGAUUUGAAUUAUUGAGAAAUGCAAUUGGAUUCUGUUGCAUACAGUCCAAGGAGGAGUGUUGAGAGCUGGACUGCAAUGCAACAUGAAGCCAGCAGUAAGCUACUGUCGAGACCAGCAGCACCUACAGAGCUCAGCUCAUUUUGCUUGGUGCGCAAGAAUGAUUUUUGGACCGAAUGAAGCAACCAACAUUGCUUUUUUGUUUUGAUGUAAUUUGGUCUGGUUCAAUCUUAGUUUGCUUGUAAUGUUAGUAGAAGUUAAGUUAGUGAUAAGAUCUUUUGAUGUAAUGCCUGAUUGGUCAGCUAUAUUUGAUUAAUUUUAGCUAGUGACUAGGUUUGUAUUAGUUGGGGCAGUUAAAUACAUUAGGUAACUGUCAAUGUACAUUGUAACUUCUUAUAUAUUUCAAAUUUGAAUGAAAAAUUAGUAAUGUUCAAUUACAAUUUGUCCUGAGUAUUCAAACUUUGUUCACUGCUUUUGUUUUGCUUUUCUUUUUGCUUCGAUUCUUCUUGCUUCUGUUUACAAAUCUGUUUGGUGUUUGCUGCCAUUGUUCCAACAUUUGUUUUAUCAGUUAACAGCUUCUAGCUUUUUUGUAUUUUAAUUUCCUUCCCAUCUUUAUCUUCUGAGUUUGAAAUUAUUAUUGUUUGCUACUCUCUUGAUUGUUAUUUUGAUGUUUAGAGGAUUGCUUGUUGAGAUGUAACUCUAUGUUUCAUUCAAUAAUAUGAUUGAUUCACACUGUACAUUCCAAUUCUUUAACUCUCACAAAGGACAGUAUAUAUGAAGUUCUCCUAAAGGAAGAGGUUCUUUAUUUGGUAGCUUGGUGCUUAACUUAUUGUUGUUGUUGUGCAUCUUCAUAUCGAACACUGAUGGAGUGGACUCGGACACAAAAUAUCAGAAAAUGAAAAACAAAAGUAUCACUUGCAUUCCUCACGGUCUCCAUAAACAAGACUACAGUGGAUAGUGUCAAAAACUUCAGCAUCAUAGCAAGAGUCAAUGUACACCAGAUGAACACUCAAACCAGAAUCUUUCACAAAUGAAUAGACUCACUCAACUAGAUUAUAUGGAAAUAUUAAUAUCACAAACUCCCGUGCAAAAACACUAUCGUAAAACGGAUAAAAUGUUCAUAAAAGACCCUCCUAUAUCUCAUCAAGUACGAGAUUUUCCGUAAAUGUUGGCAUAAACAGUCUUGGUACGAUAAACAAUUAUUAAACUUAAAACACCUGCAAUGAUGCAGAAUCCUGACAUAAUCAUUGAAGUCAGAAAGAAGCAUAUAGAACCUUCACAUUUAAGCGGUUCAUCCACGGCAAACAUCCCUGAGAAUAUUGAACCCGAAAUCUGAGGUGGGAUAUGAUGUUGAUGAGCUUGCUUCUCUGCUUCACGGUCAUAAAUACUGCUAGCAAUUACACCUGAGAAGAUGAGUGACCCUGCAGGAUUUGCCAGUGUGAGGAAGUUGUAGAGAGCCCCGAACUUUUUCAAACCAAACAACUCGGAGGCUGCAGCUGGCACAAUUGCCCAGUGGGCGCCAUAGCCAAGUCCUAUCAACAGAGUACCAAUAUACAUUGCUCCAGGCCAUCCCAUAGCAAAGAAAACAUGGCCUACUGCCAUAACAAGCUGGGAAACAGCCAUAGCUAUUGGCCUCGGAUAAGCAUAAUCCCUAAAUCACAGUGACAAGGUAAGAAAAAUGAAUCAAAAUCCAUUACUAAAGUUAGUCUAAUAAUAUCGGUACGUACCUCACAAUGAUCUCUGAGAAGUAACCACCACCAACACGACCAAGGAAGUUCCAAAUGCUAAUCAUGGAUACGAAAAUAUGAGUAUUAUCAUACCCGAGAGACUGGCUCAUCUGACCAAGAUUAUCUAUCACGGUCAAUCCCGAACCCGAAGCUAAUAGCAGAGAGAAAAAGAUAAGCCACAAAUCUGCUUUGAUCAAAGCUUGCAUCAACGUAAAGUCCUCCCCUCGAUGAGGACCCCUCCUUCUUUUCACCCUUACAGCUCCUUCAGCAGCGGCUUGACAUAGUUUUGCUUGCAACUGAGCAAUUCGUUUAUGCCUUUCCGUUGCUGGAAGCAAGUCUACUUCCUUCGGUUUCUCAUCUUCAACCUCACUGAAUAUUACUUCGUCCUGUUCGGAUUUGCCUGCUUCUUGUUGCCCGGGCUUUGGUAAAAGAACCUCUUCAACAGCCAGAUCUUUAGGUUCGUCGGAGAAACUCAAUUUAACCGGAAUAACUACCGGAGCAACAAGAAGCAAGAACAAAAUCACUGUAAAAAUUAUGAUUAAAGUGUGGCUUACAUCAACAAGAUCUUCCAAAAGCAUCACCCCCAUCAAGUAAGCUGCCAGUAGGAGGCAUACACUAUAAAUAAACGUAAAACUUAAACCAUCAGAUGGCCUCACUUGUCUAUGACCUCCAACAGGUCUAAUUAUGAACAUUAGAGCAACAACAACCAUCGCCGGUCCGACCGCAACCAUGAAUAUCAAAGCCGCUUGAUCUGGGAAGUUAAUCAUAGUGUAUAUCUGAGUCAAAAUCGCGCCGCUCAAACCAGCAAAGCCUUUGAGUAUUCCGACGACCGGACCUCGGCUUUUUGGAAAGUUUUGCACACAAGAAACCAAAGCAGCUGUAUUGAAGUAGGUUUCUCCAUUGUUUCCCACAAAUAUCAAGAUGCACAUCUGCAUACUGAGGUGGAUUAACAGUCUAACUAUAGUGAGAUGUUACUUUUGCAAACACUUGUGAAGAUACAAUAACUUUUGGACAUAGUUGAAAGGGUUAGCUUGAAAUCAUUUUAGAAAUAAAAUAACAAAAUCAAUCACCUUAAUUUUCCACCUCAAAUCCACUUACAUAAUAACUUCUGGUUUUAGCAACAAAUUUGGAGAUUGAAAAGAGCAAAAUUUACCAGUUAACACAUUAGUAUAUAAAAGAAUGGCCAAAAAAGAAGAAGAAGAAACAGAGGAUCAAAUCGAUACUUACAGCCCACAAAGGCAAAACAGGAGCUCUUCCAGUAACAAUCAACCAAACCCAACCAUAACCAAUAAGAUUCUGCAAAGCACCAACGAGCAAAGCACCCCAUAAAGGCAAUAUCUCAGAUAAGCUUCCAGCUAAGAACCCAACACUAUCACCAAGAUCUUUAGCCACACCCAACUUUGAAAGCUGUCUUUGAUUAUAAUUCAAUGAUCUCUUUAUUACAGGUGAUAAGCUACCAAAUACAUAUCCAAUACCAGCACAAGAUUGUAUCCAUAUUGCAGCCACAAAAACCAGCCAUCUAUUAUUCACAAAAGCUUGAAUCCUUUCUUUCAAUUUCCCCAUCAUGUAGCAACAAAGAAGAAGAAGAUAUUGGGUUCAGCACAAUGUCAUCAACCCAAAGCUAUGAAAAAAAUAUGGGCUUUUAAUAAAAAGACGGAUCUUUUUAAAGACGAAAACUUUGUGGGGUAAGAAUAUGUUUAUAACAAAACAACAUCAAAGAGAAAAAGUUGAAAGAUAAUUAUGAUAAAUUUGGUUACAUUUUGGGUCAUCGGUCAUGGGGUUGCAAGAGAUAGGUUUUGGCUGGUCUGUCCAGUGCUGGCAUUUUUUCUUUACUUUUAUGUUGGAAUCCCGUUAAUUCCGGACUCUUGUUCUAUAUAUUUACAGGAAAUGCCACUGCGAUCAGCUUAAAGGAAUACAAAUUGACAUUGAUGCCUCACUGUUACCAAAAUAUAUAGAGAGACAAACGUCUGAAACUGUUUUCUAUAUACUUUUCUCUUCUUUUGCUUUGAGGUUCUGGGGGUUUGACACGUGGUAUUUUAAAUAAAUUUCAAGUUUCAAUCGGGCCCUCGCCUAUGAAUUUAAGAUGGAUUUGGAUGAACGGUGCGUUUACAUACGAUUAGUUUAAAAAUAGCGAUGGCGGUGAAAUUAAAUACUGUAGCGAUACUAUAUUUCUCUUACACAGUAUAUCUAAAUCCACCCUUAGUUUAACUACAUUUCUCUUACACCAAUCUUGAUCUCAACAAUUGGGACUGGAUUUUUCUCCCUACAUUAUAAUCAAAUUCGAAUUCUAGAUUUGAUCCUUUCGACUCUUUCAAAUUAUAAAACGGAUAAAAACACUUACAAUCAUGACAAGAAAAAUUCAUUGACGCACAUAAGUUCAUUAUAAUCUUUUCUUAAUUUUACUCAUUUGAUUUAAAAUUUAAAAUUCAAUUUAACUUAUUUUUGUUAAAUUUGAAUAUUCAUAUCAACCGAACUUUAUAUUUUAAAUUAAAUAUUUAAAUACUAAAAUGCCACGUGUUUAAAUUAACGAAAAUUAAUUAAUAAUGUUAUUGAUUGGACUAAUUUUCAUAUAAUAUAAGUAGUAAAUCCCGGACUAAAUUUAAAAGAUGGAAAGAGUAUAAAGACAAGGGCAUAAUUAAACCAUCAUCCACGAUCAUAAGAAAUUUAAUAAACAAAUAAAGUAGUGAUGGUUGACAUAUGAAUAAUUGGUGUCAUUAAUGAGAAAACAGUUGUUCUUGCAAUUAAUCACAUUUCUAAACCUUAUCUUACAAGAUAAACACCUUAUUAAGAAAACUAUAUUGUAUUUAUUGAGUAACUUUUUGGAUAAACAUUGCUUCUUCAUAACGACUUUUAAUCAUUUUCUUUCCUCAAUAAACUAUUACUGAAUUUAUGUUUUGGAUGUUUAAUUUCAAAACGUUAUAAAAUUAUCAUUGAAUUAUUUAAAUUUUUUUUAUUUAAGUUACUGGACUGUUAAAAUUAUUGUUGUAUGGCAUUUAUUUUAUCUUUUACAGUUCAAUUUUUUUUAUAAAACAAUCAUGAAUGUUAUGAAUUUGCAAACCAAAAUCUAAAUAACUUUCUUCUCUGAUCUUCGACACUGACCAUCGAUUGAUUUGGAUUUAAAGUACUACUAAUUGAUGGACACUAAUCCAUCUUAUCGAUUGUCAAACCGUUGCUUGGAGCUCGCUAAUAUGACUUUUUCUUUAAAAAAAAAGAACUUAACAACCCAAUGAUUCAAAUAAUUUUUUUGAAUAAUUCAAUAAUCAUGUUAUAACUUUUUUAAAAUUUAGUGAUCAAAACAUAAAUUUAUUAAUAAUUUAAUGAUGUUAAGCGUAAUUUUACCCUACAAUUUGAGAAAUAAAAUUCCGGCUUUGGACGCUUUAUUCUAAUCAAAUUAUGUAACCUUCCAUUCCUUUUUUUUCUUAUUGAUUUGAUGGCUUUUCAAGAAAUAUGCUCAUACUCACAUAAGGUACAAAGAAAAAGAGGGAAAGAAUCUUUUCAUUUUUUUAAGAGAUAAAUUGUAAAAAUAUACAUGAAUUUUAAUAAAAAUAUACAAAUAAAUUUUAAUUUUAUGUAAAUUGUCAAAACCAUUUUUAUUUUUGGAAAAAACAAAAAUUAGUUGUCGAUGAAAAAUUGGGAGUCGCUACCAAUCUUUUAUUGAGGUGUGAUUGGAUCACCUAAAAAAACGGCUUUGGUCUACGAGUUUUAGAAAAACGGAUCCGAGAGUCGGUUACGUACGAGGAAGGAUUAGCACCCUCGUAACGCCCAAAAUUGGUACCUAGUUAAUUAAUUAAUGUCUUAAUGUCGAAAAUUUGAAAAAUAUAAUCCUUAGCAAAAACUUAAAAACGUUACGUAUUAAGACCUUUAUCAUUUCAAAGAAAGAAAAUGCCACACCCAAUGCGUUAGGGCACAACAUUUUAUUUCCUCAAAAAUGAAUUGGGCCAGAAUACUCGUGUAAUAAAAAUUUAAAAGGAAUAUCCAUUUAUUCAAGAUUUAAGAAAUCGCGGCCCAAUACGUUAGGGCACAAUUCCUCCAAAAUCUCAAACUCGAAAUAUUUCCUUUAUUAUUUUUUAGAAAAAAUCCCCAUUUCGAGAAAUCAAUGCGUCACAUCCAAUACGUUAGGACACAACGUGUUGAAUUCCCAAUAAUGAGUUCUUAUUUUUUGAUUAAAGAGAAAUGCUCGAUCGUAGAUUUAACGAAGAAAAUCAGAACCCAAUAUGUUAGGGCUCAAUUCCCUUGAAAAUCCUAAAUACGAGCAUUAUCUCAAUUUGGAAUUUUUUUUAUUUUUUUAAAAAUCGAGUAAAAAUGAUGUAAUGUUAUAUUGAAUGCAUGUAUAAAUAUCGCAAUAACAAAUAACAAUAAUAAAUACGACAAUUGUAUAGAAAUAAGAUAAGCAAAUAAAUAAAAAUUAAAAAAAACCAAUGACAUGCAAAGUAUCAAAUAAAUGAGCAAAAUAAAAAAAAUGAAAACAUAAAUCAACAAACAAAUAAAUAAAUAAAAAUAUAAAAAAAGUGCAUAAUAUAUACAUUAAAAUUAUGAAAGAAAACUAUAAAAUUUAUAUAAAAAAUAUUUAUAUAUAUAAUACAUUUAUGAGAAUAAAGAAAAAUAUACAUAUAGAAAUUAUAAAAAUAUGGAUAGAAAGUAUAAUAUAUAUACGUACAUAUUUAUAUAAGGUAAUAAAUAUAUAAAUCAUAAAAUUAAUAAUUACACAUAUAAACUUAAAAAAAAAUUGAAAUUAAUUAAUUCUAAAAAAGGAACUAAUUUUAAACUGUGAUAAAAAACUAGGGCAAAUUUGCAAAUAAAUAAAGUUUGAACGACUAAAUUGAAUGCGCAAAUUACAUAGAGGGGCUGGAAGGGCAAUUUUCCCUUCUCCUCUGAAACGGCGCCGUUCAAAAGGGUUAAAUUGAAAUUUAAAAUAAAUUAAAGGACGAAAUUAAAAAAACAAAAGAACCUAAUUGAAAAUAUAUUAAAAGGCGGAAGGGCCAAAAGUGUAAUUUACCCCUCCGCAUAAAAACACGCAUACCCUAAAGCGGAUUGGAUCAGAUUCGGGUUGGGUACUCAAAACGACAUCGUUUUGGGCGUCUGAGGGUUCCCCAAAACGGUACCGUUUUGGUACCAUAUAAAAGCCCCUAACCUAAAAAAAAUCAUUUCAAAACUGAUUUUAAAAAAAAAACUUAAAAAAACUCUCCCUCCCCCAGUCCGUCCGGCCAGGGGUCCGACCAUCGACCGGUCGUCGGCCACCGCGUCAGUCGCUGAUCUCCGGCACUUGCACCGCCGUCUACGGUGGCCGGAAAAGGGAAAAUCCCCUUUUUAUCAUUUUUGCACCCCUCUAGGCCCAAAUUUGGGCUAAAAAUUUCCAAAAUCAGCGAAAAAACUAGAAAAACCCCAGAAACCUUUCGACAUCUAGUCGCCUGUCAUUGGAGACGAUCCUAGGCCUUCCUUUCGGCGUUUCAGAAGCCAAAAAGGUAGUUUCCUUCUCUUCUAUUAUUUUUGUUUAUUCAUACAUAAAAUAAAAAUAUAAAAAUAAAUAUAACAACAAAGAAACAAGUAUCAACAUUUUUUUUGACCGAUUUAUUCUUUGUAUUGCGAAAGUAGAAGUCUUUUUUCUAUUUGAUUUUUUUUCGAUCCCCCCUUACAGUAUGUUAAAGGCCUUUUUAUAGCCAUUAAUUAAAAACAAAGAAACAAAUCAUGCUUGAUAUCUUCUUGAUCUGCAAAUCCUUUGAUUUAGUUUCCUUUUCUGUGCUUAUUUCUUGCAGGUGAAGGUGCGGAGAUCCGACUUGUACAAGCUAAGUGGUUGCAGCGCGAGGCUCCCUCAGAAACCCUAGGGUUUCUGAAAUUGCCUUGGGCCUGGGUCUAAUUUUGGGCCUCUGUUUGUUUCAGUUUGGGCCCUUAUGGGCAUGUUUGUAAUUUGGGCCUUUUACCCGGGCCAAAAUCGGGUGUUACACAAAUAUAUAUAUUUCAAUUUGUUUUAAAUUUCACAUACUAUUAAUAUUAUUUUAAAUUUAUAUUUAUUAGAUUAGGAUACAUAUCCAUAAUGUGGAUAAAAGAAGAUAUACUAAUUUUAUAAUAAAAAAAUAUAAAACUAAAUUUGGUUUUAGUUGAUAUGAUAAAGUCGAGCUAGUAUGAUGUUUUUUUGUUCAAAUCUCAUAAUUCUCAUCAUGUGUAUUUUUUUUAGAUUUAUCAAAAAAUAAAAAGACAUAAAUACCCUCAAAACAAAAUUUUUUAUUCCGUAAAAGCAAUUAGUUUUUAAGUAAUUUUAUAAUUGAGUUGAGAUCAGGUUAAUAGGCAACACCAAUUCAGUCAAACACAUUCUAAAAUAUAGAUUACAUACGCAAAUAAUUAUAUUUACCAUAUAUAAAUUAAAAUAAUUUAUUUUUAAAUGUAUCACUAAAAUUUCAUUUAUACAAUGGAAUUAAAAUCAAAAUUUCAUAUAGAAUUAUGUCAUAUCAAAGUUCAAUAUCGUAUUACGUAUUAAACCAGAAUCCAUGUGUGUUUUUUAGAAUUAAUGUAAAGUUUGUCCAUAACCAUGAUUUCCAAUUUUUUAAAUCUUAAUUCUACUUUAGUCCUUAACCUUUCAAUUGUUCCAUUUGCAUCCUCAAGGGUUUUGUUUUGAUCCUUCCCUAAUGGCCAAAUCAAGACAAUUAAGUCUAAAGAUAUGUUGGUGAUAAUACAAGGAUUUAAGCUACAUUUGAAAGAUUAAAAAAACAGAAAGAAAUCAUAGGAAAAUCUUAACCCAUAAAGACAUAAUUAAUUACAAGAUCAAAGUCUAUAUUUGGUAGAUAUGCCAAAUGGAAAUCAAUUUCAAAGAUGGAAGGUUGGAUUAGUCAAACAAUUUUUUUUUAUAAUAAAAUUAGCCCAUAAAAUAUAUUAAUUUAUUUCCUAUCUGUCACUCUCAAAUGAUGAAAAAUAUGGAAAACUAAAUACCAAUCUUUUGUGUACAUGUGAAGAAACGAAUGACAUGAUACAUGGUGAUUUUUUAAUCAUAUUUCUUUGUUUUUGAUUUAAAAUAAUAAUAUUAAAAUUUACAGAGGAAAAAAGGGAUAAAGCCACCAACCUCUUAUUAAUGAUUGAAAAUAAAAAUUGGGCAUGUGAUUGUCGAGUUUAAUUAAUUAAAUACCCCCGACUGUUGCAUUUUAUAUGGAAAAUGUUAUUGAAAAGUCUUUUUUAUUUUAAAAUUUUAGGUGGCUAUUAGAAAGUGAUUUUAAAAAAUAAAAUAUUUAUUUUAGAUAUAAUUGUUACUGAGAGCAUUUACUCAAAUACUUGAUGUGUGUUGUUUACUAUUAAUAUUUCUAAUGUUUACGAAAAUUUUAAUUGCUAACACUUCAGUAACAAUUUGUAGCGCACAAUAAAAUUUCUUUUAAUUUAAUUUUAAAAAUAUUUUUCAACCAUAAAAAUCCACAUUUAAGUCAACUUUUUUUUUUAAAGAAUAAGAUAGAUUAAGAGUUCAUUUUCUACACAUAAUCGAUAAGAUAAUUAGAACUUAAAUAUUUACUAUAUAAUAAUAAUAAUAAUUCUUCCUUAGUGCAUCGAUACAAAUUACUGAUAUUUGAGGUAUGAAAAUUAGCUGUGUAAGUACAUUGUUAAACCUUUUCUUACAACAUAAUAACAUAUUAAGAAAGGUAUUGCAUCUUUUUUAAUAACUUGUUAGAUAAUUUAUGGAAUUUGUUGCGUGGGAUUAGCCCUUUUCUUUUAUCAUAGCCUUUGACAAAUUCAAUUAACAAAUUCCAACUUGAACCUUCCAUCAUCCCGAUUAAGCAACGAAUAAGUAAAAAAUAAUAGAAGAAAUUGAGAAGUUGAACACACAAAUUUAACGUGGAAAACUCCUUCCAAAGAGGAUAAAAAAUCACGGGCAAAGAUAAUUUUACUAUAAUGGCAAAAGAACGAAUAGUACAAAAGAUGGAGAUAAAAAACUAAACUCCGAAAACCCGAAAACAAAGAACCUCAAAAUGUAAACACAAAAUUCUCUAAAUGUGUUAUGAGUUCUAAUCUAAUGGGUGUAUUUUUCUAAUAUUAUAAAAGAGCCUAUUUAUAGGCUAAAUUAGUAAGUCAAAUAAACUAUGCUAAUAAAUGCUAAAUAUAUUAUACUAAUAAAUACUAAAUCUUCUACAAAGAAAAUAUAUUUUUGUUUAACUUGACUUGCAAGCAAUCUCUUAGAAUUUGAGUUACACAACUCUAACACUUUUGUUAUUUGAUAGCUUUCAAGAAAUUUCAUAAAGUAAUUUUAUAUUUCGAAAUUUUAUUUUAAGUUGUGCUCUUGAUUGUGAUUACAUGUUUCUGGGAAGCUAUUCAAUAUUUGAGGUCUAAUUGUAGGGCAUAUUGGAUGAUUUAAAAACCUUAUUUGAUCGUGGUUUGGAUAAUGUGAUGAUUCAGAUUGAUAGUCUUGAAGUGGUGAUGGCCAUCCAAGAGAGUUUUACAGGAGGGACCAAUUCGACUCUGAUAAGGAGGAUUCUUCCGCUGUUGUCUAAGAUUUCUCACUGGAAUAUUUUUUUUGAAGCAAAGACUGGGGUUUUAUUAAUAAAUAAACUGAAAACAGACAGCCCAAAAAGUGGCCCAAACAAAGAAACCAGAAAACAACAAUAAAAACUUCUAAAAAACUAUCAAGACUUCUGUCUUACAAAAGAAACAUAAAAUCAAUAAAAGAAAAUAAAGCAAAUUAAAAAACCUAACCCAGUCAAAUCAAUGAGCAGCUGGCAACCAAUAACGUCUGACGAUUUGUUAUUUCCAAAGCUCCUAACGUUUAAUUAAUAGCAGUCCCCUAGGCAUUCAAUCUUCACUCUGCUGUCUAUUUCGGUCACAUUUCCUCUGAAGCAGUUCCUCAAUCUGGAUUUCUUGACCGAUAUCCUACCGAAGCCAGAUUCUGACUAUCUAGUUCCUCACCCCUCAGGUAAAUCGUCUCUCCUUUCUCGAAUGCGAUCUUUGCUAUUCUGUGAGCAUCUAAGUUUUCUGACCUGUUAAUAUACUGGAAAAUAAGAUCUUGAAAGUCAGAUUUCUUCUGUUGAAUAUCUCUGAUGAUGGCUCCAAUAACUGAUUUGUCUGUGGAAGUCUCUUGACAUUUCUUUAUUACAGUUUUUGAAUCCCCCAUAAGUUUCACUGAAUGGAUUCGUAAUGAAAUCCCUAACUUUACUCCUUCUAAACAUGCAUGAGCCUCUGCUGCGAAAGGAGAAGAAACAUUUCUGUGAAUAACUAUUUUUAACGCUAUUAAGACUCCCCUCGAGUCCCAACCUACAAGGCCGGACGCUGAACUGGAGGUAUUACUGUCGUACGCUGCAUCAAAAUGGAUCCUGGCUGUCGGUGUAAGCUCUUGUACUCUAUAGCUUCUGCAUGUGACCUCAUUAGUUUUUAAGACUUUUAAUCCUCUCUGUUCUAACUCAUAUCUUUGUAUGUUAAGUACUAAGGCCCUUCCUGGAAUGAUAUUUCUCUCAUGAAUAAGUUGAUUUCUAGAAAACCAUAUCCACCAUAGCGCAUAGCAAAAGGAAAAGCAUUGGUCAUUGUUUCCCCUCUUGAAAACCCAGGUUAACCACUCCCACAUAGUAUGGCUCCUAUUGUUCAUAACCCAUGCGAAAUUUAACAAAUGCCAAACUUCUGCUGUUAUAGGGCAAUCUCGAAAGAUGUGGAGGCUGUCUUCGACCUCAGAGCUGCACCGGGGACAUCUGUCGUUUGAAACCACUCUCCUUAUACUGAGAUUAACAAAGUUUGGAAUAAAGUCCCAAGAGAUCCGCCAGAUUGUAAACGCAAUUUUAGAUGGUAGCUGAAGGCUCCAUAGUUUUUUUAUAAAAAUCCUUUGUUUCGGUUUGUAAUAAAUAGUCACUAGGAUCCAUAUUUGCAUUUUGUAAUAGUUUAUAGGCACUACGAACAGAGAACUCACCAGAUAAUUCCCCUUUCCAAGCCUGAAAAUCAUCAUGCGCAAUCUCUGCAAGAGGAAUUUCAAGGAUUUUCCGAACUAUGUCCUCAGGAAAGGUAUUCUGAAUCAACUCCAAGUUCCAUUUUCUGUUUGAAUGAUCAAGAUGAUCCGCAACUAACUUAAUUUCCCUCCUGGUUGUUCUGUUGUUUACGUCGAUUUUGUCAACCCCCUGAAUCCAACAAUCGUCCCAAACAGAGAUGCUAUCUCCUCUGCCCACUCUCCAGCACAUCCCUUUUUGGAGUAGACCUUUAGCAGCCCAAAUGCUCUUCCAGGUAAAAGAAGGUAAAUUUCCCAGCUUCGCUGUUAAGAAACUAGAAUCCAGAUAAUACUUUGCUUUUAAAGUUCUGGCUAAAAGCGAAUUUGGAAAAUUAAUGAGACGCCAACCUUGUUUCGCUAAUAAUGCAAUAUUGAACUGACCGAAAUUGCGAAACCCAAUUCCACCAUUUUCUUUCAAAAAACAAAGAUUCUUCCAAGUGCACCAAUGGAUUCCUCUUUUUCAAUUCCCUUUCUGCCACCAGAAUUUGGCAACAAUAUGUUCCAGUUCAUCACAAAGUGUUCUAGGAAAUAAGAAGCAUGCCAUCGAAUAGGUAGGGGUAGCCUGUAAAAUGACUUUAAUAAAAACUUCUUUACCUCAUUGUGAAAGAAAUCUAAUACUCCAAUUAUCAAUGCAUUUUUUAAACCUAUCCUUCAGAUUUUGGAAAGCUUCCCUCUUUCUUCGACCCACCAUAUUUGGCAAUCCCAGAUAUCUCUCUGGUUCAUUCGACCUUCAAACCCCCAGCGAGUUAACAACUUGUCUUCUAUCCUCUUCGGAAGUAUUUUUGCUAAAGAAAACAGAUGAUUUUUUCAAAAUUUACACACUGUCCCGAUUGAGAUUUAUAUUCAUCCAAAAUGCCCUUGAAGAUACUUGCACCUCUGCUUGUUGCUUCACCAAACAAAACACAAUCAUCAGCGAAUAAAAGAGGAAAAAUUUGUGGCCCACUUCUACUAACCUUUACGCCAUUUAACGUGCCUCUUUUUACUGCCUGUCUCAAUAAGCUCGAUAAACCUUCGCCACAAAAGAGAAAUAAAAAUGGACUAAGUGGGUCGCCUUGUCUCAAUCCUCUAUUAGGUGAAAAUGUGUCCCCUUUAUGUCCAUUAAUAACAACUGAGUAGGAAAUGGUAGAGACACAAUUCAUAAUGGCCUUCACCCAUUCCGAAUCAAAUCCCAUCAUUAUCAUAAUUUCUUCAAUAAAACUCCACUCCACCCUAUCAUAAGCCUCAGUCAUAUCAAGUUUAACGGCCAUAAACCCUUUUUUCCCCAGCCUCUUCUGUUUUAACUUAUUCAUUACUUUGUAUUCUAGUAUCACAUUAUCAGAGAUUAAUCGACCAGGAACAAAAGCGCUCUGGGUUUCAUCAAUACAAUUCCCGAUCACCUUUCUAAGCCUGCUAGCUAUCACCUUAGCAAUAAUUUUGUAAUUAACAUUACAGAGACUAAUCGACCUGAAUUGCGUCAUUAUUAGAGGAUUAUUAACUUUGGGUAUGAGAACAAUGUUUGUGGAAUUUAUUGAACUAACCUCCAUGCCUCCAUUCAAAAUUCGAGAGCAGUAAGCAAUGACUUCUUCUCCCAUGAUCUGCCAACACUUCUGGUAAAAAACUGUUGGAAGACCAUCUUCCCCUGGUGCCUUCGUUGGCCCCAUAUCAAAAACCGCUGUCGUGAUUUCCUCCCUAGUAUAUAGAGCUAUAAGGAUCUGGUUGUCCUCCUCUUAAAUGCAUAUCUCAAUACCUGCUAAAAUCUGAUUAUUGUUCCUUCUUCGUUCAGUCGUGAACAGUUUCUGGAAGUAAAAUCUCGCAUUUUCUUUAAUUUCCUGUAAAAUCUUCAGCUCUCUUCCUUCUUCGUUCAUCAAUCUGUUAAUAGAAUUUUUCCUCUUCCUUUGUGUAGCUUGACUAUGAAAGAAUUUUGUGUUUUUGUCUCUAAAUGUCAACCAAUUAAUUCUAGCUCUUUGUUCCCAAUAGCAUUCGUCUUUUUCAAUCUCAAAAUUCAAGUUUAGUCUAGUGUCAAUUAGCUCAGCUAAAGUAUUUUCAUCCCGUUCGGCUCCUGCAAGUUCCUCAAGUUUUUUGUGAAGCUCCUGUUUAGAUUUCUUCCUACUCAUUUUCACCUCUCCUGCCCACUCUUUUAAUCCUGUUUUCAAAAUCUCCAAUCUCUGCAGCAAGUCACCUGUUGAACUCUCCCAUAUGCCUUUAACCACCUCAAUAAAAGAUUCCUCCAAUAACCACCAGGCUUCAAAUUUAAAAUUGUUAUUCCAUACCUUUACUCCUUUUUCUGUAGUAUCAAUGAGAAGAGGACAGUGAUCUGAAAACGAAUGGGAAAGAUGUUGAACCUUCACCUCUGGAAACAUCGUAACCCAACCCAUGUUGGCAACUCCUCUAUCAAGGCGUUCUCGUAUAUUUGUCUCAGGUAAAUUACCUCUUUCCCAAGUAAACCAACUACCCUCGAAGCCCACAUCGUUCAAUUGACAAUCAACAAGUGUUUUCCGAAAACACUCCAUUCUUCUCUAGUCUCUGGGAAUUCCUCAUUUCUUUUCGAAACCAUACAUGAUUUCAUUAAAGUCUCCACAAACUAACCAUGGAAUUUCCACUCCAGUGGUCAAUCUUUUCAAAGUAUCCCAUGAAACGUUCCUCUCCUGGACAUAUGUGGAACCAUAGAAUCCUGUGAAUCUCCAUUGUGGCCAAUCUUUUCAAAGUAUCCCAUGAAAUGUUCCUGUCCUGGACAUAUGGGGAACCAUAGAAUCCUGUGAAUCUCCAUUUCACACCUUGCUCAUUAUCUUCGACUAACACGUCAAUAUGCCUUUUAGAAAAACUACGAAGACUAACAUCAAUAUUUGCUCUCCAUGCCAAACAUAACCCUCCCCUUGUACCUUCAGAAUCAACUUCAAUGCCAUUAUGAAACCCACAUCUCAUGUGAACUACUUCAAUCUAUUUUCUGUUAAGUUUUGUCUCCAUGAAGAAGAUAAUUUGGGGAUUUUUUAACUUUAGUACAUAUCGAAGUCUUCGAACUGCGUCAAGCAUCGGACGUUCCAGCAUAAUAUUUUCAUUGCGACAGGUCGGCUCUUGGUAGCCGCCGAUGAUAAAAGUAUCUGUCCUUCCAUCUCACCUCUAUUUUGCUUCUUCCCCUCUUCCCCCAUUAAAACUUCAUCCUCUAGAUCAUGAUCCAUUAAUUUGUGAAUCUUAUAUGAUCAUGGUUUCUCCAAAACUGUUCCUUUCCCUUCUAAACUAAAACCCUGUAUUGGAUCACUGGUUUUCAUCUCACUACCUCUUGGAAUCCCAUUCCUUGAACCCAUCUCCCCUAAUCUGUUCUCCAUCCAACAGCCUUCCCUAACCCCCUUAUCCUCUUCACGCAGCCAAAUACUAUUCGUUGACAAGGCUCUAUGUGAUGGAGCCCACAGGGAUAAAUCCCAACUCAACUCUAUGGGAUCUGAUCCAACCAUCAUUUUUGUCUCAAUAAGAAUCAUUAUGACCCAACCGACCACAGAAAAAAUAAAACAGUGAUAAACGUUCAUACUUGAAUUUGACGUACGAACAAACACCAUUAGACGUAACCUGCUUCUUUCUCCUUAAUGGCUUCCUGACAUCAAUCUGCACCCUGACUCUCAUAAAAUUACUUUUUUCCUUGCCCAGAUUUGAUGCAUCAUACUCUAAAAAUACUCCAAUAAAAUUCCCCAGUAACGUUGCUAAACUUUUAGAGAAUCAACCCAUUGGAACAUCAUGGAUUUGUACCCAGAAUGGAACAUAUAUUAACGGUAUUUUUAACGGAUCUUCACCUCUGUUCAGAUUGCUCAGAAUUAAUAGAUGAUUGUUAAACGUCCAAGGAAGGCCCUUUAGAACUCUCUCCAAAUCCAUACUAUGGAAGAACUUAAAAAUGUACCUUUUUUCUCCCAAAUCACGAAUCUGUACCCCACAAAUGGGGUGCCAUAAAUUUGCUAGGGUACUUUUCAUAGCCGAAAAAUUUAUGAUACUUGCUGGUAAGAAACAUCCCACAAGCUGAUAAUCGCCCACGUCUGUAUGCGGUUGUAGAUCAUCCUGAAUCUGCAAGAUCUCUUAUUCUUCUUCAUUAAUUGAUAAUUGGGCUAAUUCAGUCUCCAUGGUUGCAGGAAUUAAAGGAACGCUUCCGCCAACCAAUUAAAGAGAGAUCAAUCGCGGAAAUCGUAGGGAAUAAAAUAAAAGAGAUCAAGACCCCUCAAAAUCCAAAAAAACAUAAACUUUAAACCUAAGAACCCAUGCCAGAGACGGCAGACAGAACCCGUGCCAGAGACGGCAGACUUUUUUUGAAAUAUUUAUUAUAUGCCCAGAGCAGAGAACCAGGAAGCUGAUAGACUUGCCAAGAUGGCUCACUCAGGAAGUCAAGGUUUGCGAAUGUUUAGAAGACCCCCAUUUGGAGAGUUAGGCCAAUUGGCAUAGUUUAUUUCUAGUAAUUUUCUAUUUUUCACCAAAAAAAAUAAUAUAUUGUAAUUAAAAUCUAAGAUCAAGACUUUAUGAAGACUCCUUAAAGGAAGAUUAGACCACUAAACAAUUGAAGAAGAGUCCUUCUUGUUUUCCAACUAUUUUCUCUACAAUUCCUCACAAUAUUUUGAACCUUUGUACUAAAAGUGUGGUAAAAGUAUCAUGAAAAUCAUGUAUUAGGAGUUAGAUUGCAUCUUAUCCCCUUUAUUUAAAAAAUUAGAUAAAUUAAUACUUACACAUUAGAUUAAAGAAUAAAUUAGUCUUUUCUGUUAAAAAUU
rnacentral:lncRNA from 1 species